rnacentral:rRNA from 1 species
AGAGUUUGAUCCUGGCUCAGGAUGAACGCUAGCGGCAGGCUUAACACAUGCAAGUCGAGGGGCAUCGGGAGGGAAGCUUGCUUUCCUUGCCGGCGACCGGCGCACGGGUGAGUAACACGUAUGCAACCUGCCCUCUUCAGGGGGACAACCUUCCGAAAGGGAGGCUAAUCCCGCGUAUAUCGGUUUCGGGCAUCCGAGAUCGAGGAAAGAUUCAUCGGAAGAGGAUGGGCAUGCGGCGCAUUAGCUAGACGGCGGGGUAACGGCCCACCGUGGCGACGAUGCGUAGGGGUUCUGAGAGGAAGGUCCCCCACACUGGUACUGAGACACGGACCAGACUCCUACGGGAGGCAGCAGUGAGGAAUAUUGGUCAAUGGGAGAGAUCCUGAACCAGCCAAGCCGCGUGAGGGAAGACGGCCCUAUGGGUUGUAAACCUCUUUUGUCGGAGAACAAAACCCGGGACGAGUCCCGGACUGCGUGUAUCCGAAGAAAAAGCAUCGGCUAACUCCGUGCCAGCAGCCGCGGUAAUACGGAGGAUGCGAGCGUUAUCCGGAUUUAUUGGGUUUAAAGGGUGCGUAGGCGGUCCGUUAAGUCAGCGGUAAAAUUGCGGGGCUCAACCCCGUCGAGCCGUUGAAACUGGCAGACUUGAGUUGGCGAGAAGUACGCGGAAUGCGCGGUGUAGCGGUGAAAUGCAUAGAUAUCGCGCAGAACUCCGAUUGCGAAGGCAGCGUACCGGCGCCACACUGACGCUGAGGCACGAAAGCGUGGGGAUCGAACAGGAUUAGAUACCCUGGUAGUCCACGCAGUAAACGAUGAAUGCUGGUUGUCCGGGUCGAAUGAGACCUGGGCGGCGAAGCGAAAGCGAUAAGCAUUCCACCUGGGGAGUACGCCGGCAACGGUGAAACUCAAAGGAAUUGACGGGGGCCCGCACAAGCGGAGGAACAUGUGGUUUAAUUUGAUGAUACGCGAGGAACCUUACCCGGGCUCAAACGGGAGUGGAAUGGACCAGAGACGGUUCAGCCUACGGGCCGCUUCCGAGGUGCUGCAUGGUUGUCGUCAGCUCGUGCCGUGAGGUGUCGGCUUAAGUGCCAUAACGAGCGCAACCCCCGCCGGCAGUUGCUAACGGGCAAUGCCGAGGACUCUGCCGGGACUGCCGCCGCAAGGCGUGAGGAAGGCGGGGAUGACGUCAAAUCAGCACGGCCCUUACGUCCGGGGCGACACACGUGUUACAAUGGGCGGUACAGCGGGAAGCCAGGCGGCGACGCCGAGCGGAACCCGAAAGCCGUUCUCAGUUCGGAUCGGAGUCUGCAACCCGACUCCGUGAAGCUGGAUUCGCUAGUAAUCGCGCAUCAGCCAUGGCGCGGUGAAUACGUUCCCGGGCCUUGCACACACCGCCCGUCA